ACAUAAAUUAUAAAAUAUAUAAAGUAUAAACAAAUGCGCCAGUUUAGUCUACAUCGAGAGCAUAAGCAUGAAUACAAGAGAAGAUUGCUAGUACAUCCAGCAAACCACAUCAAAAUGUAUACUUUAUAAAAUUUCAAGAGAACCAAACAACUUGUGCAACAACACCAUUUGAUUGCAUAGAUCCGAUUUGUGACCCAUGUAGCUGCGAGCAGAGAAAGUAUCUCGGUGGGCUUUAGCUGUUGAAUAGAAACCGUAAAUAACAGUGUUCCUUUAGAUUAAUGUGAGGUAGACUAAGAUGACACGUGUUGGUGAAGAGAUUGAAUAAGGUUUUAGUCUAGAGCUUUAAAGGUCUAAUCAAUUUAUGUACUUUGGCAUUAUAAUCAAACUGAAACCUCUUCUAAAGCAAUAUCUACGACAAUGUUACAUAUAUAUAUAUAUAUAUAUAUAUUAUAGUUUUAUAGUUUGUUGGGGGACAUCUAAAAGUUUGUUUAGUUUUUCAGUUUCCACUUUUAAU
rnacentral:sRNA from 1 species